UAUUAUCAUCCAGUCUCUAAGAUUUUUCUUUGACUGUGCACUGCUUAUUCAACAAUAGACAGGCUUUGACAUAUGAUCAUUAAUUUGGCUGCGAGAUUAAAGGUUGCUACUCUUCAGGAAGACAAAUCUGCUUUUGACGUUGAUCGUUUACAAACAUACACUGGGCAGAGUCCAUUCUUCUUCUAAAUAUUCAAAGCAGCUAUGAGUGAGAACAAGACAACGAUACCUGGCUUGAAAAUCCUAUAUUGCCUGAUGAUAUUUUGAAGGAAGCAGUACCUGGGAAUAUCCGACGGGCAGAGCAUUUCUUGUUUGUUCUAUGCAGAUUAGAGUUCAGUAUCCUAAAGGGUGACUAGAAAACUAAAAAAAAACAGAAAAUGUAGUGAAGGAAGGACUAGUUACAUUUGUUGGCUCUAUAAAUGCACAUGUUGGGAUUGACCGCUACAGUUUUGUUACGAUCGACUUCUCUCUCUGAUGUUAACACCGGAGAGAACCGACACGGAUGAGUUUCUACACAAUCAAACAAUCUGUGACUUUGCAACGCUUGCAGGGACAUACUCUAGAUGGUGUUUUAGAUUCUGGUAUUUGUUCUAUCCAAAUGUAGUAUGCAAGAUUUCCC